CCUUAUGGAUGAGCAAGGAAAGUGGCCUCCUGAGAUGGAAUCUACUCCUGAUGAAGAUGCUGUGAA
rnacentral:pre_miRNA from 1 species